rnacentral:rRNA from 1 species
GCCUACGGGAGGCAGCAGUAGGGAAUCUUCCACAAUGGGCGAAAGCCUGAUGGAGCAACGCCGCAUGGGUGAAGAAGGUCUUCGGAUCGUAAAACCCUGUUGUUAGAGAAGAAAGUGCGUGAGAGUAACUGUUCACGUUUCGACGGUAUCUAACCAGAAAGCCACGGCUAACUACGUGCCAGCAGCCGCGGUAAUACGUAGGUGGCAAGCGUUAUCCGGAUUUAUUGGGCGUAAAGGGAACGCAGGCGGUCUUUUAAAUCUGAUGUGAAAGCCUUCGGCUUAACCGGAGUAGUGCAUUGGAAACU